rnacentral:rRNA from 1 species
UAGUUUUAUAAAUUAGACCCGAAACCAGAGGAUUUAUUCAUGAAUAAGUUGAAAAUUUAUUUAUUUAAAUUAGAAGACUGAAUCCAUAUUUGUUGCAUAAAAUUGGAAUAAUUUAUGAAUGGGGUGAAAGGCUAAACAAAUCUGGAAAUAGCUGGUUCUCCCCGAAAGCUAUUUAGGUAGCGCCUCAUGUAUCACUCGCGGGGGUAGAGCACUGUAAUGGUUGGAGGGGUCAUUGCGAUCUACUCCGCCAUAGCAAACUCCGAAUACCGCGAAGUGCGAGCAUGGGAGACAGACGGUGGGGUGCUAAACGUCCAUCGUCAAGAGGGAAAACAACCCCAGACCGCCAGCUAAGGUCCCCAAGCCAUGGUUAAGUGGAAAACGAAGUGGGAAGGCAUAGACAGUCAGGAAGUUGGCUUAGAAAGCAGCCAUCCUUUAAAGAAAGCGUAAUAGCUCACUGAUCGAGUCGUCCUGCGCGGAAGAUGUAACGGGG